rnacentral:rRNA from 1 species
CCUACGGGAGGCAGCAGUGGGGAAUAUUGGACAAUGGGGGGAACCCUGAACCAGCGACGCCGCGUGAGUGAAGAAGUAUCUCGGUAUGUUAAGCUCUAUCAGCAGGGAAGCAAGAAAUGACGGUACCUGACUAAGAAGCCCCGGCUAACUACGUGCCAGCAGCCGCGGGAAUCCGUAGGGGGCAAGCGUUAUCCGGAUUUACUGGGUGUAAAGGGAGCGUAGGCGGUUACGCAAGUCUGGAGUGAAAGGCGGGGGCCCAACGCCCGGACUGCUUUGGAAACUGGAUAACUGGAGUGCAGGAGAGGUAAGUGGAAUUCGUGGUGUAGCGGUGAAAUGCGUAGAUAUUAGGAGGAACACCAGUGGCGAAGGCGGCUUACUGGACUAUAACUGACGUUGAGGCUCGAAAGCGUGGGGAGCAAACAGGAUUAGAUACCCGGGUAGUC